CAGGCCUAACACAUGCAAGUCGAACGAUGGUCUUCGGAUCAUAGUGGCGCACGGGUGCGUAACGCGUGGGAAUCUGCCCUGGGGUUCGGGAUAACCGUUGGAAACGACGGCUAAUACCGGAUGAUGAUGAAAAUCCAAAGAUUUAUCGCCCUGGGAUGAGCCCGCGUCGGAUUAGCUAGUUGGUGGGGUAAAGGCCUACCAAGGCGACGAUCCGUAGCUGGUCUGAGAGGAUGAUCAGCCACACUGGGACUGAGACACGGCCCAGACUCCUACGGGAGGCAGCAGUGGGGAAUAUUGGACAAUGGGCGCAAGCCUGAUCCAGCAAUGCCGCGUGAGUGAUGAAGGCCUUAGGGUUGUAAAGCUCUUUUACCCGGGAUGAUAAUGACAGUACCGGGAGAA
rnacentral:rRNA from 1 species